CCAGACUCCUACGGGAGGCAGCAGUGGGGAAUAUUGGGCAAUGGGGGAAACCCUGACCCAGCGACGCCGCGUGAGGGAAGAAGGUUUUCGGAUUGUAAACCUCUGUCCUUGGUGACGAUAAUGACGGUAGCCAAGGAGGAAGCCACGGCUAACUACGUGCCAGCAGCCGCGGUAAUACGUAGGUGGCAAGCGUUAUCCGGAUUUACUGGGUGUAAAGGGCGUGUAGGCGGGACUGCAAGUCAGAUGUGAAAACCAUGGGCUCAACCCAUGGCCUGCAUUUGAAACUGUAGUUCUUGAGUGUUGGAGAGGCAGGCGGAAUUCCGUGUGUAGCGGUGAAAUGCGUAGAUAUACGGAGGAACACCAGUGGCGAAGGCGGCCUGCUGGACAAUAACUGACGCUGAGGCGCGAAAGCGUGGGGAGCAAACAGGAUUAGAUACCCUUGUAC
rnacentral:rRNA from 1 species